CGGCUAACGAACCCUGGAGUGCGCGCACGCGCGCCAUAUCGAACGGUUCUGCGAAAGCUCAGAUCGUUAAAAUAGAAUUCAAAGCGCGCUUGGAUAGAAUUUCGAUGUGGGGGAGGAGAGGUGGUGUUCUUUGAGAGGGGGCCAACGACACGAUGCAGACGGAUUCAUCGAUUGGCAUAGGGUGAUUCGAGUGGUGGGGUUCGUCGACUCCAUUUCGACAUAUUUAUAUAUAUACACUCCCUCUAGUAAAUAUGUGUGUAUUUGUAAAUGUACAGGGUGUCAUUAAAUCCUUGUUAGAUAGAAAUAUUAUCAAUUUUAUGAACUGAAAUUUAAAUUUUUUUUUUUAAUUUUGGUACUUCAUUGAUUUUUAGACUCUUAAAA
rnacentral:lncRNA from 1 species